rnacentral:rRNA from 1 species
GUUAGGCCUAACACAUGCCAAGUCGAACGGCAGCACAGCAGUAGCAAUACUGUGUGGUGGCGAGUGGCGGACGGGUGAGGAAUACAUCGGAAUCUACCUUUUCGUGGGGGAUAACGUAGGGAAACUUACGCUAAUACCGCAUAAGACCUUCGGGUGAAAGUGGGGGACCUUCGGGCCUCACGCGGAUAGAUGAGCCGAUGUCGGAUUAGCUUGUUGGCGGGGUAAAAGCCCACCAAGGCGACGAUCCGUAGCUGGUCUGAGAGGAUGAUCAGCCACACUGGAACUGAGACACGGUCCAGACUCCUACGGGAGGCAGCAGUGGGGAAUAUUGGACAAUGGGCGCAAGCCUGAUCCAGCCAUACCGCGUGGGUGAAGAAGGCCUUCGGGUUGUAAAGCCCUUUUGUUGGGAAAGAAAUCCUGCCGGUUAAUAACCAGUAGGGAUGACGGUACCCAAAGAAUAAGCACCGGCUAACUUCGUGCCAGCAGCCGCGGUAAUACGAAGGGUGCAAGCGUUACUCGGAAUUACUGGGCGUAAAGCGUGCGUAGGUGGUUGUUUAANUCUGCUGUGAAAGCCCUGGGCUCAACCUGGGAAUUGCAGUG